AGUGAACGCUGGCGGUAGGCCUAACACAUGCAAGUCGAACGGCAGCACAGUAAGAGCUUGCUCUUACUGGUGGCGAGUGGCGGACGGGUGAGGAAUACAUCGGAAUCUACUUUUUCGUGGGGGAUAACGUAGGGAAACUUACGCUAAUACCGCAUACGACCUACGGGUGAAAGCAGGGGAUCUUCGGACCUUGCGCGAUUGAAUGAGCCGAUGUCGGAUUAGCUAGUUGGCGGGGUAAAGGCCCACCAAGGCGACGAUCCGUAGCUGGUCUGAGAGGAUGAUCAGCCACACUGGAACUGGGACACGGUCCAGACUCCUACGGGAGGCAGCAGUGGGGAAUAUUGGACAAUGGGCGCAAGCCUGAUCCAGCCAUACCGCGUGGGUGAAGAAGGCCUUCGGGUUGUAAAGCCCUUUUGUUGGGAAAGAAAAGCAGCAGGUUAAUACCCCGCUGUUCUGACGGUACCCAAAGAAUAAGCACCGGCUAACUUCGUG
rnacentral:rRNA from 1 species